GAUGAAGAACGUAGCGAAAUGCGAUAAGUAAUGUGAAUUGCACAAUUCAGUGAAUCAUCGAAUCUUUGAACGCACAUUGCGCCCCCCAGUAUUCUGGCGGGCAUGCCUGUUCGAGCGUCAUUUCAACCAUCAAGCCCUGCUUGUGUUGGGGUCCUGCGGCUGCCCGCAGGCCCUGAAAACCAGUGGCGGGCUCGCUAGUCACACCGAGCGCAGUAGCACAUCUCGCUCAGGGCGUGCGGCGGGCUCCAGCCGUUAAAGCACCCACCUUUCGCAAGGUUGACCUCGGAUCAGGUAGGAAUACCCGCUGAACUUAAGCAUAUCAAUAAGCGGAGGA
rnacentral:misc_RNA from 1 species